UCCGAGUUGACCCCGGCAGUCUCUCACGAGUCCCCACCAUUACGUGCUGGCAACAUGAGACAAGGGUUGCGCUCGUUGCGGGACUUAACCCAACACCUUACGACACGAGCUGACGACAGCCAUGCAGCACCUCCACGGCAGCCCCGAAGGGAAGCUCCAUCUCUGGAGCGGUCCACCGCAGUUCAAACCCAGGUAAGGUUCUUCGCGUUGCGUCGAAUUGAACCACAUGCUCCACCGCUUGUGCGGGCCCCCGUCAAUUCCUUUGAGUUUCAGUCUUGCGACCGUACUCCCCAGGUGCAGGACUUAACGCGUUAGCUCCGGGACGCUCCACGAACGUGAAGCACCCCAAGUCCUGAUCGUUUAGGGCUAGGACUAC
rnacentral:misc_RNA from 1 species